UUAACCAUUUCAUCUUUAACCAAACAUCCCUAAACCGAUCAGCCCCUUUCAACAUCAACCGACAACCCUAACGUCACCACCUAACCAUCGCCGUCACCUCACCACCACCGCGCCCAUAUCCCACAAAAUCCGCUACGUACACCCCUCUUCUCCUUUCUCACACUCCAUCUCUGAAGCUUGCAGGCUCCAUGUGCGAUUUCAGCGGAUUUCAUGGUGAGUCCCAUCCCUAUUUUCAUCAUCUCAUCUGUUGAAAAUGUCUCCCAAAAUUUCCCCUCUUUCCCUUAAUUUUGAAUUUCGAAUUCUUGCUUCUUUGUGGGGAUGUUGAAACCCUCAGUGUUUACCUAUAAAUACAGGCCUUCCUUGGCUGUUUUGAAACAAGUUUUAAAGGGUAGAAAAUCCCAUUUAAGUAAACAAGUUUCAAGUGUAGAAAAUCCCCUUUAAGUUAACAAGUUCAAGUGUUAAAAAAUUACCUCUUGAACAAAUGUUUUCACAACUGAAAACUAAGUUUGGAUUUUCAGAAAAUACUAUUCCUAACUCUAAGUUUUUUGGUUGUCGAAAUCCCCUCCUUCGGUUCUCGACUGAGCAAGGACCACUCCGAGCGAAUUCGGAGAUUCGACAACUACAGUAGCCUCAGUUCGCUGUCAAGAAGAAGGAUAAGAUGCUCGGAGAGCAUAACAGAGCAAAAAGGAGCAAAACGGAGCAAUCAGCAUUUUCUGGCAGCAUCUGCUAGUAGCAGAUGCUGCAGCAUGUUGUGCAUGCAGCAUCUGCGAGUAGCAGAUGCUGCAGCAUGUUGAACAUGCGAGCAGCAGGUUUUGCAGCAGAUGUUGACAGAGAAAUUGACACAACAUGCUACGGUUUUGGCACAACAUGCGACUAGCAUGUUGCACCUGCGACACAACAUGCGAGUAGCAUGUUGUGCACGAGGGUAUUUUUGUCAAAUUUUGUUCCCGUUUUGGCACUUCUAUAAAUAGAAUGCUAGGGUUUCUAAAACUCAUCUUUGGCCAUUUCAUACAAGUUUUGGAGACUAGGUUUCUACACCACACUUGGUGAUUGAAGAUUUGAAGUUUUGAUAAGAAAUUUCUUAACCCUUUACUCAUUUCUUCAAUUCCUUGCUUUGUAUUGUAUAUCUAAGUGUGUAGAAUUUUAUUCCAUAACUUUAAUCUUGUUUAUGAAAAUAUUCAUUUGCAAAGUUGGAUGAAACUCUUGUUUUGCUUAUGUAUUGAAUGAUUUUUAUUGC